ACGCUCGACACCUACGGAGGCAGCAGUGGGGGAUAUUGCACAAUGGGGGAAACCCUGAUGCAGCAACGCCGCGUGAGGGAAGAAGGUUUUCGGAUUGUAAACCUCUGUCCCCGGGGAAGAUAAUGACGGUACCCGGGGAGGAAGCUCCGGCUAACUACGCGCCAGCGGCCGCGGUAAUCUGAGCGGGCUGGCAAGGC
rnacentral:rRNA from 1 species